CGACCACAACGGUGGAGCCUGCGGUUAAUUGGACUCAACGCCGGGCAGCUCACCGGAUAAGACAGCUGGAUGAUAGCCGGGCUGAAGACUCUGCUUGACUAGCUGAGAGGAGGUGCAUGGCCGUCGUCAGUUCGUACUGUGAAGCAUCCUGUUAAGUCAGGCAACGAGCGAGACCCACGCCAACAGUUGCCAGCAUGUCCUCCGGGAUGAUGGGGACACUGUUGGGACCGCCUCUGCUAAAGAGGAGGAAGGAAUGGGCAACGGUAGGUCAGCAUGCCCCGAAUUAUCCGGGCUACACGCGGGCUACAAUGGUCAGGACAAUGGGUAUCGACACCGAGAGGUGGAGGCAAUCUCCUAAACCUGUCCUUAGUUCGGAUUGUGGGCUGCAACUCGCCCACAUGAAGCUGGAAUCCGUAGUAAUCGCGUUUCAAAAUAGCGCGGUGAAUAUGUCCCUGCUCCUU
rnacentral:rRNA from 1 species